AUUGAACGCUGGCGGCAGGCUUAACACAUGCAAGUCGAACGAGUGGCGGACGGGUGAGUAAUGCUUGGGAACCUAGCUUAUGGAGGGGGAUACCUACGGGAAACUGUAGCUAAUACCGCGUACCAUAGGAUGAGCCCACGUGGGAUUAUGUAGUUGGUGAGGUAAAGGCUCACCAAGCCGACGAUCCCUAGCUGGUCUGAGAGGAUGACCAGCCACACUGGGACUGAGACACGGCCCAGACUCCUACGGGAGGCAGCAGUGGGGAAUAUUGCGCAAUGGGGGCAAGAUGACGCAGCCAUGCCGCGUGAAUGAAGAAGGCCUUCGGGUUGUAAAGUUCUUUCGGUAGGGAGGCGGUAACUACAGAAGAAGCAACGGCUAACUCCGUGCCAGCAGCCGCGGUAAUAC
rnacentral:rRNA from 1 species